GAAAUGCGAUAAGUAAUGUGAAUUGCAGAAUUCAGUGAAUCAUCGAAUCUUUGAACGCACAUUGCGCCCGCCAGCACUCUGGCGGGCAUGCCUGUUCGAGCGUCAUUUCAACCCUCAGAACCCCUUGCGGGAUCUGGCGUUGGGGAUUGGCAUCCAGCCAGCCCCGAAAUCUAGUGGCGGUCCCUCCGCGACCUCCCCUGUGCAGUAGCGAUACCUCGCAGCGGGACAGCGGUCUGACCACGCCGUAAAACCCCCAACAUCUCAAGGUUGACCUCGAAUCAGGUAGGAAUACCCGCUGAACUUAAGC
rnacentral:misc_RNA from 1 species